rnacentral:rRNA from 1 species
GCAUGGGGGNACCCUGAUGCAGCGACGCCGCGUGAGUGAAGAAGUAUNUCNGUAUGUAAAGCUCUAUCAGCAGGGAAGAAAAUGACGGUACCUGACUAAGAAGCCCCGGCUAACUACGUGCCAGCAGCCGCGGNAAUACGUAGGGNGCAAGCGUUAUCCGGAAUUACUGGGUGUAAAGGGNGCGUAGGUGGUAUGNCAAGUNNGAAGUGAAANCCCUGGGCUUAACNCUNGGACUGCUUUUGAAACUGUUUUNCUGGAGUGCAGNGAGAGGUAAGCGGAAUUCCUAGUGUAGCGGUGAAAUGCGUAGAUAUUAGGAGGAACACCNGUGGCGAAGGCGACNUUCUGGACACNAACUGACGNUGAGGCUCGAAAGUGUGGGNAGCAAACAGGAUUAGAUACCCUGGUAGUCCAAGGGCGAAUUC